UGUUAGGCAGAAAAUAUAGGCCAAUGAGUUUGUUUGGGGCAAACUUUACGAACAAGUGUCGUAAAAAGCACGUUAAG